rnacentral:lncRNA from 1 species
UUUGGGAUUCACUUGGAUGCUCUUCUUCUCUCUCUUUUACUUUGAAUGGCCCUUUUGUGCUUUUGGGAGAUUUCUCUUGUAAUCUCUUUGAAAUCUCUUCCCUAAAUGUUCUCUCCCACUUCCAUCCCUUCUCCCCUUGCUCUUCCCUUGAUUUUAUAGCUUUAGAGGGAGUGGGAACAAAAAUCUAGCCGUUAGAGACAAAAAUAGAGCCGUUGGAGUUGAGAAAAAACUAGCCGUUAUGCCUUCCAGCGUGCUCGAGUCGACUCUGCUGAAGUAGGAGUCGACUCGGCUGAGGCAGGAGUCGACUCGGCUGGGAGUCGACUCGGCUGGGAGUCGACUCGAGCACUGCAGUGCUGAAAAUCAACUCUCUGUCUUUUUGUCUGUUCUCAGUCGAAGUCGACUCGCAGAAUCCCGGAGUCGACUCGAGCACUGUUUCUUGAAACUCUAGAGUGCCAGAGUCGACUCGGAACUUUCAGGAGUCGACUCGAGGACUAUUCUUUUGAAUCUUUCUUUGAAUUUG